UCCCGCCCCGCGGACUCGGUGGCCCCGCCCCUGCAGAGGCUGAUUGGCCUAGCGCGAGGUCAUCUUCCUGCUGAUUUGUAUGCCUGGUAGUUUUUCACUGGAUGCUCUACAUGAGAUCAAAAUAUGCCACUCCAAAACAUGCCACUUUGGCAUACAAUUAUUUCAGAUUCAACAGAUGCAGAAAGAAGCCAUCUCAGAGCUUCCCUUAUCUCAUGAGAAGCAGAAACUUCUGAGAAAUGAGGACUGCUGUAAAUCUCCUCUUCUAGGGAAGUUUUAUGGCCACAGAGAAGAUGAAGUUGGCGCCAAGAUGGAUCUGCACAAACAAACCUUACUCCAUUAAUUUCCCUCAUAUAUUUACUUUCCCAUGGUUUACUGCCUUUGGGAGCCUAAGAUUUUUUUUUUUUCCUUUGACUUGUCACUUCUCUACGAAUUUAUUGUUCUUUGUUAAGAUGCAUAAACCCACAUUCUAACCACCUCUUUGAGUUUUUCAUCAUAUCACUGAGUUUCUCCUGGGUACACGCCCACUGUACAUGCUAAUAAACUAUUUGUUUUUCCCUUGUUAAUCUGUUUUUUCUCAGUUAAUUUUCA
rnacentral:lncRNA from 1 species